rnacentral:lncRNA from 1 species
UAUAGAUAUAGGAAGAUGUGGUGUGAGUGCCGAUGAGACAACUCUCCAUCCAAAUAACAAUUUAUAAAAGUAAACCAUUAUAGUUCAAUGUACGGCCUUCAACGCGGAGCCUUGGCUCACACCGAACAACAAGCUAUAAAGGGCCCCAAAAUUACUAGUGUAAAACCAUUCAAACGGGAAUAUAAAAAAAGAGAAACGAGCAACACGUAUAAAUUACAUAAACAAACGACAAUAUACAUAUACAUGUAUAUGUACUUUAUCUAUAAUAUACAUAAUAUCCGUACUGAC